rnacentral:pre_miRNA from 1 species
CUACUACUCCCUCCGUCCAAAAAUACUUGUCGUUGAAAUGGAUGUAUCUAGAUGUAUUUUAGUUCUAGACACAUCCAUUUUGAUGACAAGUAAUUUCGGAUGGAGGGAGUAUUAU